rnacentral:lncRNA from 1 species
ACGUGACAAUGGACAAUUAGCAUUUUGGAGAACUGGCAUGAGUUUAGAUUUAAAGUAAUUCAUCAAGGACUAUAAAUUUACAUUUACACCACAAAAUGAAACGUUACAAGCAAGUUACUCCAUUUACCAGUUUGGAAUACACUAAAACUUGUUCAUGUAUUGGCUUGAAAACAUUGCCUUGCAAGAUGACCGCUAAGAUAAUAAAAAGAGUUUGAUUCUCAUGGUAUAUCUCCAAAGAACAUGAUCUCCAAGACUCCAAUAAUUCUUGCUUAAUUGCUUGAGGCAACCAAGAGUUCCAUCCUCAUGGUCUAUGGUGUACCAGUCAUUUAACAAAUAACAUGGUCCCCAAACAUUCUUGAUAACUUGAUUGAAAUAUAAAAACGGGAGUUCCAUUCUCAUAUUCCAUGAACCAUUCUUGACAAGGAAUUCCAUUCUCACGUUUAACCUUUGUUCAAAAGAACUUGGCAAAAACAUGAGUUUAGUGCUCACUAUAUUCCAACCUUCACAUUGACAAAAAUGUUAAUAAGUUGACAAGAACCUUUAAACAUAUAAAAUUAAGGGAAAGAGUUCGGAUAUACAUACCUCAACACCAAUUGAAGUCUCAGAGAGAGUGGAGGCUCGGACAGCCACGAGACGUGGCUCUGUGACACACAGUCACCCCUUAUCCUGAGAAUACAAUCACUCCCUCUGAGAAAAAGUUAUCCAAGAUUUUAAGGAAAAUAAUAUAGGGUAGAAGACACAAACCUCAAGCCAGCCUAGAAAUUUUCCGGCUUAGUGUGUGUGAUGGUUAGAACAACACCUGCACGUACAUUUGCAAUAACCAAAUCAAUCAGGCAUCUUCUCAAAAGAAUAGUAACUAAUGUACCCAUGCUUUGCUAGGGAGCUGCACUAUGAGGAGUUGAGAUAUAACACUAUCAAUGCUUAUACAGAUGACUGAUAAGAUAAUUUCACUUUUUAAACUUGAUCUGGAGAGAGAGCACUAUGACUUGCUUUUAUUUCACCACCUUGUUUGCUGGGUAGUAGAGACAUCUCUUACAAAUAAACACAUUACAACAUAGUAUUCCCUCCGUCCCAAAAUACUUGUCAGAGAAAUGAAUAAAAAUGGAUGCAUCUAAAACUAAGAUAUGUCUAGAUACAUCCAUUCAUUCGACGAGUAUUUCCGGACGGAGGGAGUAUUACUUAGCUACGAGGAUGGUUAUCAGAGUCCGUAGAAGUAAGAAAAACAA